rnacentral:lncRNA from 1 species
GAACUCCACCACCAGUCUACUGCCUCUGAUCUGGAUGGCUGAAGCAGCUUCCAAAGAAGACUUUCUGCCUCCAUUCUUGUCCUAGUGGCAACUAUUACCCACAGUGGUCAGUGGGAAUGUUCUUAGUGUGCUCAGGCUGCAGCUAGCUGUCUUUCCCUCCAAAGUUGCUCAUAACUUGGAAAGUAAAAUCAAACGGUUUGUGUACACUGACAGACUUCAGGAACUAUGUCCUUGGCCCUCAUUUUCUUCCAUUUUCCCAGUCACAUGACUUGGUCCUCUCUAUUUUUUUCUGACUCUCCAGUGUACCAAACUGUUCCCACCUCAGGGCAUUUGCUGUCUCUCUUUGCCACAAUAGUUUUCAGUUCUAAAUUUUAUAUCUGUCUCAUGUAAGCAUUGUGGUUUUAAAGAAAAUGUUCCGAGGACUGAUGAUGGCCCAGCAUUCUCUCCCCACCUCUCCAGCUGUUCUUUCUCUAGCUCUCCUUGGUAAUUUCUCAACUGCUGCCUGCCCUUCCCCUAGAAGAACUGUCUCUCCAGCAGCUCCAGCAGCCCAGGCUGACUGACUGACCUCUGAGAUAGCUCUUUGAAAGAAAUCCUUCCUGUGCUUCAGAAUUCUCUAAGAGGCCACUUCUCAGUGUGCCUAUGUUAUUUAGGGUUUGAGAGAGGAUUUCACUAAAUUGCUCAAUCUGUGGACCAGGUUGGCCUCAAACUCCCAACAACCUUCUCACAUCAGCCUUCCAAGUGCUGGGACUACGGGAGUGUGAUUCCCCACAUAUUACCUGUGUCGACGGUCCUAUACAGAGUGUGUCCCCAUCCUGCUAUAGCUCUUAUUCCUCCCCUGUCCGAGGCUGGAGGUCAAUUCUUCCUCCAGGACAGCACAGGGUUCACAGGCUCAUACCCCAGGCUUGGAUCUCACACACUCACUCACUGGUUGUGCUUCUGGCCAAGUCCUUUCACCUUCUCUUAGUUUAUUUCUCACUGACACAGAAAUGUAUUUGUGAAUAAUGUUCACAAAGGAGUCCAGGAAUACUGUCCCCUAGUCUGUGACCCUGGUGUGUGGACAACUUCUAGGUUCAGGCAACAGCAGAUGUUUAAGAGGCACUUCCCCUAAUUCCUUUAGAAUCCCUUAGAAAGAAUUCAAUUGUCAUGAAUUCCUACAAGGACAUGCACUGUGCCAUAGGAGGAAGAUAGUGGACACUACACACACUCAGGCAGCAUGCCCCUCACUUAGACGAGGGCACCGUCCUCUCUCUAGAGGGACUGUCUACAUGGGCAGAAUCUUUGUAUUUCUCUGGGUAUGGGGGUGCUUGCUUUGCCUUCAUGUGAUGCUCCUGUAUAUGAUCCAUCUUUAGGCCAUUUUCCUUUCACUCCGUCAUCAACCUCUUUUAGAAGCUCAGUUGCUGAGGCUGCGGCUGGGGGAGCUCCAUUCCCCAUAUUUGUUCUUGUCAGCACCGCUGUGAGGCAGUGUCCUGUGUUGUGAUAAGGGUGCAGGAAAAUUCAGCUCCUUGUCUCUGACGAGGUGCUAGAGAAAGGUUUCCUGGUUCAGAAGUGGCCUUGGUGACAGGAAGCCCUCUGUAGCCCUACCAUGGUUGUCAGGGUAAAUGGGGAGUCUAGAUGCUAUCGUGUCUUACAUGGACAGUCACAGUGUCAGGGCAUUAGCCUGUUUGUUCUGACAAGCACACAUAACCUUGUUGAGGAAGGG